rnacentral:rRNA from 1 species
CGACUAAUGUUGAAAAAUUAGCGGAUGACCUGUGGCUGGGGGUGAAAGGCCAAUCAAACCGGGAGAUAGCUGGUUCUCCCCGAAAGCUAUUUAGGUAGCGCCUCGUGAACUCAUCUCCGGGGGUAGAGCACUGUUUCGGCUAGGGGGCCAUCCCGGCUUACCAACCCGAUGCAAACUGCGAAUACCGGAGAAUGUUAUCACGGGAGACACACGGCGGGUGCUAACGUCCGUCGUGAAGAGGGAAACAACCCAGACCGCCAGCUAAGGUCCCAAAGUCAUGGUUAAGUGGGAAACGAUGUGGGAAGGCCCAGACAGCCAGGAUGUUGGCUUAGAAGCAGCCAUCAUUUAAAGAAAGCGUAAUAGCUCACUGGUCGAGUCGGCCUGCGCGGAAGAUGUAACGGGGCUAAACCAUGCACCGAAGCUGCGGCAGCGACACUCAGGUGUUGUUGGGUAGGGGAGCGUUCUGUAAGCCUGCGAAGGUGGCCUGUGAGGGUUGCUGGAGGUAUCAGAAGUGCGAAUGCUGACAUAAGUAACGAUAAAGCGGGUGAAAAGCCCGCUCGCCGGAAGACCAAGGGUUCCUGUCCAACGUUAAUCGGGGCAGGGUGAGUCGACCCCUAAGGCGAGGCCGAAAGGCGUAGUCGAUGGGAAACGGGUUAAUAUUCCCGUACUUGGUGUUACUGCGAAGGGGGGACGGAGAAGGCUAUGUUGGCCGGGCGACGGUU